rnacentral:sRNA from 1 species
AUCACAGUGUCGUCAAACACGAAGGAAAACAGAAGAACGACGACGAAAACGAGGAGAAGUACACAUGGAGGAACGAUGAGAAAUCGCUUAUUACUGAUUUUUUAUACCACUACGGUAUUGUGGACUAUUGGUUACACACAGCUGGUUUUGGGUAAACCACCCAUUUUCCAGGAUGGUGGAUCUGUCGAGCAAAAAGUUGCCGUUGAGGGUUUGUUUUCAUUUUCUUUGCUUUUAAAUACUUGAGAUUUACAGUUAAAUGUAAUUUAAAUUUGAAAAAAGAAGCAUUCAAAAACAGCUUUUAGUUUGAAUUCAGAUAUAAUUACGUAUUGAAUUGUUUUCAGGCGAAAUCAUUCGAUUAAAAUGCGACGACGCCGAGCUCGCUGAGCAGUACGAAUGGCGAAUAGGCGACGCAUCUGGCGAGCUCAUUGCCACCUCGAAGUUCUGUGAAGUACAAGCUUCUCGUGUCAAUGACGAAAAGAAAUAUCGAUGUGUUGCUAGGAAUACGGUUGGCGCAGCAAUUUCACCACCAUCUAUGGUUCGCUCCAAGUG